GAUGAACGCUGGCGGCGUGCCUAACACAUGCAAGUCGAACGGACCUUGCUUUUUCGGAGUACUUGUACAAAGAAAGAGCGCUGGUUAGUGGCGGACGGGUGAGUAACACGUGGGUAAUUAACCUUCUAGACUGGGAUAACAACGGGAAACUGGUGCUAAUACCGGAUAAGAUUCAUGAGCGGCAUCGCUUAUGGAUGAAAAGAGGCCUCUCCAUGGAAGCUCCUGCUAGAAGACAAGCCCGCGGCUGAUUAGCUAGUUGGUGAGGUAAUGGCUCACCAAGGCAACGAUCAGUAGCCGGCCUGAGAGGGUGAACGGCCACACUGGGACUGAGACACGGCCCAGACUCCUACGGGAGGCAGCAGUGGGGAAUAUUGCGCAAUGGGGGAAACCCUGACGCAGCAACGCCGCGUGAAUGAAGAAGGCCUUCGGGUUGUAAAGUUCUGUCAAUUGGGAAGAAACCUCCAAGGUCAAUAGUCUUGGAGAUGACGGUACCUAAAAAGGAAGCUCCGGCUAACUACGU
rnacentral:rRNA from 1 species